rnacentral:lncRNA from 1 species
AAGACCUUUUGUUAAAAAAAAAAUAAGUACAUAUCUAUUUAACAUAACUCAUAUUGGUCAGCACACUUAAAAUUUGGCCAGUACACUACAUGAGUGCAAUCUUUCUCGCUGAAGAAAUAGAUCUUGAGCCUAAUAAAAUUCGGUUAAUAAAAUUCGCUUAUAACUUAUGAAAUAUGGAUUCUUCAAAUCAUAUAAGAAGAUAAAUUUCCUCAUACUCAUCCAUGUUGGACAAUUUAAUACCACCCACACUCGGAGAUGUGAAUUCUUCAAAAUCAUAGAAGAAGAAAAAUUUCCUCCGGGCUCCUACUCAUCCAUGUAGGACAAUUCAACGCCACCUACAUUGAUCAAUUAAAGUGAUACAAUUUAACAUUAAAUAGAAAUAAAGUGUUUUGAUUCAAAUAUCAUAAUAAUACCAUAAAUCUUAAAUCUAACUUAACGAUAAAAAUUAGUGAAAAACGUGAGGAUCGUAUAAAACAAAACAAAUUUCUUCCCACCCAACCAAUAUGGCACAAUUCAAUACUUUCUUUACGUAUCAACUAUUAAGUGCACAUAUUUUGAUGCAUUCUUUCAACAAACUCAUUCUUCCCCACUUGUACACCAAUAUUAUAUAGUGGUCCACAGAAAGUGAAUAUGGCAGAAGAAUCAAAUAUUGUUCUAUAGUACAAAUCCAAGAAUAUGCCAAUUAUGGGUGACAGAGUCAAAAUUACAACUAAGCAAUAUCGAAAUAUAAAAAAGUCAAAUUGUAUACAAGUCAAGAAAUGUUAAUAGGUGAUAUAUACAUUAAAAAUGAUUUUUUUUAUGUUACUACAUAAUGUAUUAUUUUAUCGAAGGAGUACAGAUCGACAUCCCUCAAGUUUAUGUGGCUCCGCCACUACGCCAAUGCAUCUCAAUCAUGUUACAUUGGUCUUAAUUCAUUUGCAUUCAAGCGGUUUCAUAAUUUAAAUGUUUAAUACUAUAAUAAAAAACUAAAUUUAGAACUAAACAUUCAUACAUAUAUAGUGAAUUUUUCAAUAGGUAUAUACAAGAUUUAGCACAAUUCCUCCCUUGGUAGAGAAAGAAAAAAACUUUUGUCAUAAAUUUCUAAAGUGACACUUAUUUUAAUACGAGUUGGUAUAAGAUUAGCUCUUGGCCUCUAGAAUAAAAUGAAAUUACCUUUGAAGGGGUGGAAGUAAAGAGCAUGGGCAAUUGGAAGACCGAACACAAAUUAAUUCAAAUUUGCAUUGGGUGCACUCUUUAAAGGAGGUAAAACGAUCCCUAUAAGGAGGUAUAACAAUUUCUUUAUGCAAUGAGAAAUUUACCAAAUUUGGAGGGGCAUGAGAAAAAUCUUUUCGAAACGAUUUUUUGAAUCAAGACAUUCAAAAGGGGUAGGUAUGACAACUAAUUAAUAGGCCUUCAUUACCUUUGUCUAUUUCAUACUGAAGUAGACAUCUAUACACAAAGGAAGGGUGGCCCGCGGCUAGGUACAAGUUGAUGAUAGGAAUCUAAGCAACAACGUCAUCCAAUUAAUUUCACAUGAUACAUGUCAGCUCCAUCAGCAAGCAAGACAACAACAAGCACCAGAUAACUCCGUCGACCAAGUAACACUAUACUAGGAGAUGUAUUUUUUUAUAAAUACACCACACUUGGGAUUUCUCUUCUCUGCUUAUUUAUUUCUCCUCUUUCUCACCUUCAAGUUAAGCCAUCUAUAUAUGUCUUUCUAGUUCUUGGACAAAAAGCUCUAACAAAACACAUGGCUAAGGCUCCUAUAAUGAGGUUCUCAACAGAAGUUGCUCCCCCAAAAUUUACCAUUGUGGUGAAGUCUCCGCCACCAAAAAAAAAAAUUAGGACACCAUUAUUGAGGAAGAAGCUUAUGUCGUAUCUAUUACUGUUUCAUCUUCUCUAGACAAAAAGAGAAAUACCAUAAAAGUUCUCUCUCCACACAAUUCUAUGGCCUUGUAACUAUCUAUAUAGUAAGUGUCUCGAAGAAAGGGCCCCUUUGGUUAAAUAAGAACAAUCCCAGAUUCAACUCAGUUGUUUUUACCAUUAGCAAGAACGUGUUCCAAUUACAUAUCAUGCUAACAACUACUUGAAAUACAGUAUUAGAAGUACCAUUUUAAUUAUUUGUUUCCUUUUCAAUUUUUACCUGUUGUGCUGUCUGCCAUUUUACAGCUUAUAUUAUAUGAUGAAUAAAAGGGAAAAACUUUUUGUGUUGUUCUGUUGUACAAGCAGAAGGGUAAAUGUUAAACCAAAGAGAUUGUGAAAAAAAGAUGGAAAACAGUAAGAGAAGCUUCAUAUUUCAUGCAUCACGAGUUGUACUAAAGUGGUUAUGAAGAGCUAGAUCUGCAAUGAACACUGUUACUCCUAUUAGCUGUAGUAUAUAACAGUUAGAAUUUGCAAAUUACCACGAUAAAAUGAUGAAAUGGAGGAGGGGAAAGAAGAAGGUUCAUAUUUUUGCAUUGCGAUACUUAAAAACAGAAAUGUGAAAAAUCAUGUCAAAUUCCCAAAAUGGAGAGUGUUUGAUUCGGAUAUCAUAAUAAACAAUAAAACUUGAAACAAAACAAAUUACUUACCACCCACCGGUAUGGAACAAUUCAACACUUCUUUACGUAUCUAAUGCACACAAAUUUUGAUGAAUCUAUCUUACCAACCAUGUUGUUUUUCCACCACUUGUACCUAAGUACGAACUUGUUCACUGUUAAACCAGUAACUGUAAUAAUGAAAAGGAGCUCAACAGGAAGAUACAGAGGAAAGGAUAACUGGAGAGAAAAGGAACCAUCCUCAUGUAGGAAAUAUGGAAGGAAAAUAAUAUCCUUAGAAAAUAUUCAAGCUUAUUAUAGGCUACUUAAGGUUAGUUGAGAUGAUUAGAAUCAUCAACUAAUCACUAUUUAUACUACUCAAAAUAGCAAACAAAAAGUCUUGCACAAAUAACUAAAUAC